CUUUCCUCCCGACGUCUGCGUGUGCUCUUUACUGGGCGUGCGUGUGGCUCGGGACCUUUACUUUGAAAAAAUUAGAGUGUUCAAAGCAGGCCUUCGCUUGAAUACAUUAGCAUGGAAUAAUGGAAUAGGACUUUGGUUCUAUUUUGNUGGUUCUAGGACCGAAGUAAUGAUUAAUAGGGAUGGUUGGGGGCAUUAGUAUUUAAUUGUCAGAGGUGAAAUUCUUAGAUUUAUGAAAGACUAACUACUGCGAAAGCAUUUGCCAAGGAUGUUUUCAUUGAUCAAGAACGAAAGUUAGGGGAUCGAAGACGAUCAGAUACCGUCGNAGNCUUAACCAUAAACUAUGCCGACUAGGGAUCAGCGAGUGUUUGNAAUGACCUCGUUGGCACCUUACGAGAAAUCAAAGUUUUUGGGUUCUGGGGGGAGUAUGGUCGCAAGGCUGAAACUUAAAGGAAUUGACGGAAGGGCACCACCAGGAGUGGAGCCUGCGGCUUAAUUUGACUCAACACGGGGAAACUCACCAGGUCCAGACAUAGUAAGGAUUGACAGAUUGAGAGCUCUUUCUUGAUUCUAUGGGUGGUGGUGCAUGGCCGGUCUUA
rnacentral:rRNA from 1 species